ensembl:lncRNA
GGCUGGGAUGCUUCGAUGGGUUGGUGUGAAUGCAUGCAUGCAUACCAGUGUGUACGUACAUGUGUGUUUCUGUGCAUGUGGUUUGUUGUAGGGUGGGUUUGGGGAGACGUUUGUGAAGGCUUCGUGUUUGUGUGUGUGUGUGUGUGUGUGUGUGUUGCGCAUGCCUAUGCCAGGCUGGGUCUGCGUCUCGAUCUAUGUGCUGCAUACGUGUGUGUCUGGCUUCAUGCGGUGACUGCGCAUGUCUGUCACUGUGUGGGUGGUUUGGGUGCUCAGCUCUGCAAGGUCUGUGUGUGUGUGUGUGUGUGUGUGUGUGUGUGUGUGUGUGUGUGUGUGUGUGUGUGUGUGUGUGUGUGUGUGUGUGUGUGUGUGUGUGUGUGUGUGAGAGUGGGUGGUAUGUGCACAGAGGUUGAGAUGAGUGGCUGUUUGUUUUUGUCUGCCUCACAGAGAGGCAUACCUUUCUUUCCUCUGCCUUAUACAUGCGUGCACAUCUGCAGAGUCACAUAUCUGCGUCCACAGCACACGCGUGUCGUAUCAAAGCUGCACAUGGAUUGCGGCCAUGUUGCGUUUCAAAGCUGCAGCUGUACUUUUCCUGGACGAGCUUUUUUUUAAAAAUCAUUUAAAUGUAUAGUCACUUCCAGACAAAGCAGAUUACUUCUAUCAGCCCUUCCUUCCUUCUAGACUUCCUUGUCUCCCACAUUCCCUUCCUGAAUGUCCCGUCGCUGCCUGCUAAACGUCCUGUAGUCCUGCAUGGGACAGCAGCACAACUGCAGCCAGGACUCUGACACCCCCCCCCCCCCCCCCCCCCCCCCCCCGCCUCCAUCUCUUCAUUUUUUUCCCUCUUGCUCUCUGUCCUCGCUUCUCUCAGAGCGCUUCUCUGUCUUCUCUUUUCUUUGUUUACAUCUCUUUCUGUCUCGCCUCCUCUUUAUGUAUACAUUUCUCUCUGUCUCUCUCCCUGGCUGUCCCCUGAUGUCUCUCUUCCUCUCUCUCUCUCUUCAUACACACACACAGGAAGGAGCUAAAUAGUGUCGGUCCCUUGUUGCUUCAUUACGUGAACCAUCAUUUUCCAUCCACCGCUGCUUCAUUUCUGUCUCGACUCCAUUUUCUUCACAGAAUGCAAAUCCCUGCCAAACUCUCCCCUGUAUAUCUGGAUCCCCGUGCAUGUGUGAGAGUGUGUGCAUGUGUGAGAGUGUGUGCAUGUGUGAGAGUGUGUGCAUGUGUGAGAGUGUGUGCAUGUGUGAGAGUGUGUGCAUGUGUGAGAGUGUGUGCAUGUGUGAGAGUGUGUGCAUGUGUGGGUGAGCAUUUGCCGUAUACAACAACAGAUGGGGCUGCCAAAUAUGUUGCUGCGUGUGUGUGUGUGUGUGUGUGUGUGUGUGUGUGUGUGUGUGUGUGUGUGUGUGUGUGUGUGUGUGCAUACAUGUGGAAUGCAGAUAUGAAAAUAAAUGGGCGUUGGUAGAUAUGUCCAGACACUUCAGUGCUUUGUGUGUUUGCGGGACACUGUGAUCCAGUGUAAGAUAAUUUUUUUGUGUUUACUGCACCUUUAAUAAUCAGACUAUUGAUGAGGAAGGUCUCUCUGUCCCUAUAUUCCCCUGGCUGCCGUGGUCAACCAAUCAGAAUUUCCACAUGAGAUGCAGCCAAUCAUGAGGUGAAUACCAACCAGACUGUUGAACCAAGUGACCAAACGGGUUUAAAAAAUAUCAUUGUAAUUAUCUCUGAGUUGAGCAGUGAGGAGAGAGGAGGAGGAGGUGGUGCUGUUCUUCCUGAGGAGGAGAUGUUUGUUAAGAAUCUCUCAGGACAGACGAGGCAUUGCGGCAUUCUGCCGUCACAUGAGCGAAGCCUCAAUCCAGACAAAGACACAAGAGUGAGAGGAGAGAGGGGAGACUAAUGACAGGAGGAGGAGGAGGUGAUUGUCUCUCUCUGGCCCUGUGCUGCCUAGAUAAAUACCUGGGUGCUGGUUUGUUUAUGUAGCGUGGCAUUUUGCAGAAGGGUGGGGUUAGGGGCUGAAUGAAUAAACGGUAGAUUUGUCUAAAUCCCUCAAAACAGCUCCAGCAAGACAAGCAGCCACUUAGUGGACGCCGACGGUGAUCCAGAUACAGAAUGCAGCUUUGAAAAGUCUGGAAAACAAGAGAAACAAGCUGCAUUCUUUAUUCCACAAAGUUGAAUUUGCACUAAUUAUAUUGAAGAAUAGAAAAAACAUAUUUUAUGUCCAGAAACACAUUUGGCAGAUUUUUUUCCACCCCGCUGUCUUGUUAAGCGCUGCAAUAUGAUAAUGUGAAGACAUUUUUGCUGCAACUGUAGAGGCGAUCUGGCCUGGCUGGCUGUCGGUUUGCCAGCAGUUGUCAGUGUGUGUUACGUUAAACACCAGGCUAAUCUUCAGGUCAAGAAUUAGGGAUCUGGAAAAACUGUGGCUUUUUGACUCAACAGGACCCUGAUGAACAGAGGUGCUAUGGAUGUACAUGUAGUUUGACAGUACAGUGGUUCCCAACCUUUCCUUAUGAUGCCUUAUUUGAUAUGAAGUUGUAUCUAAUUUUAAUAAAGAGUUAGACCUAGAGCGCAGAAGAUCCAAUAAUUAAAUAAGAAGCUGAUCAACACUGUUACAUUUGCUGGCUCUUGCUCCUCCUGUGAUUCCAAAUGUAAAUAUUUGCUUGUCUUCUCAGUUGUCUGUGAUGCUAAAUUGAAUAUCAUUGGGUGUUUUAGACCGUUGGUUGGAAGAGACAAGCAGUUUGAAGGGCUCAGGAACCUGUGGUUUCACUCGCAAAACAAUUUCUCAACAGAGGCAAAGUAAUCGACAAGGAAAAUAAUAGCUGAAACCCUGGUUAAAAUGAUAGAAAAGAGAAAAAAAAAGCAAUAAUAUGUGUAAUUUCAUGUAGCAGAGAUAAGUUUUGCCAGACUUUCUAUUGGUGUCACAGGGAACCACAGUGUUGUCUAAUGGAGGCAGGAAAACAACAUGGAAGUUGAACAUUUUCUAAUUUUGAAAACUAAUUUUUGUCACUGUGAGAUCUGUAAAUGACAGGAAUGUGGGAGUCGUGAUCGGAGGGUGGAGGAGAGCUUUCUGUCUGUGGACGGGGCUUUGGACUGGGUUUCAGAACCAGGGUUUUUAAUCUAGAUUUGGUGUACUUACAACGAGCACAGCGAAAGCGUUACUUUCUUUAAUAUCUGUCUGUGUCCGUUUUAUUUCCUCUCUGAUUUUGAGGAAACGUUACAAGCCAGUAGCUGAACGCUGCUGAGAGAAGAAAGGAGAGAAUGAUUUUCAUAAAGAAGUUUUGAACACUCCUCUGACCUACAAAGAGCAAAAAACUGUAUUAUAGAACAGUAAGCCUUGGACUAUGGGCUGCAUAUCACACAGUAUCUUUUUAUGAGAUAUAAAACUUACCUGUGACCUUUUAAAAGUCAUCACAGGUUGCAGUUUUUGCCCCUUUGUAGGGCAGCUAUGACUGAGCACAGUUUUCUGACUAAAGGUUAAGUGGGGCCAGAGCAGAAGUUUUUUUGUUUGUUUUUUUCUCAAAGCGAUGAAAGUUAAAUUUUCUGUUAUCGUGUUCAUGUUUCCUACAUUUAAGUUAGCGUACUGUAGUUCUUGAAAGUUCUUUUAAAGGAGAUGCUACUAAUAAGUCAACAUUAACACCUGUAUGUAGAGUUGCCAAGUUGUGUUAAAAAAAAUUACAAAAAGAGAAAGCGGAGACAUGGUUAGCUGUAAAAUAGUUUAGAGAAAGAGAACCACAUAUUUUUGCAUUGUUGUAUGAUUGAGGUGCUGUGGGUGGGGAGGGUGGAGGCGUGUUUAAUGCUGUUGGGUUUUACUGUACUGCAGCUGUUGCCGGGACGGAAUCGGGAGCCGACUGAAAAACGGACGGACAGUCGAGGCAAACAAAACGCUGCCAGGCUCACUUCAUGUUAAGGCUACAAGUCUGAAUGUCUGUUUUGUAAAAAGUGGAUGAAAUGGAUGAAAUCUUACUCGACGUUUCAAACACAUCUUUGCCAAGCUUGCCUAAACUUACAUCACAAAUCGACCCAAAGUAAGUUUACUUGACCUGGUUCUCGGACCAGCUUUUCCACAAAGAAUAAGCUACUGCUGCUUGAAUGUUUUUUUUUCCUCUUUAGACGCCACCCGGUGGUUGAAUGCAGCUACUGCAACUCAGAGAAGGGGGGGCUCGGCCGCUGCAGUAACUGCUGACACCACCAGGUGGCGGGAUCCCACGAAGCAGUGAUCCUGCAGAAGCUGUGAUUGUAAUCAAAGAGUCUCGAUCACUGUAUUCAUCUGAGCACCUUAACAGCAGGCCGCCGGAGGCUUCUGCUGCUCAUGUUUUCAAAUCCGACACAAAAUCCACCAAAACGUCCACAACUCGUGGGCCGCGAUGCCAAAUAGAGCUGUCAGUAGAUUGAGAGUUGCUGACGUGACUUCCAAAAGAAAAGAGCACUGCAGCCGUUCUUGUGCUUCGACUCCUCCAUCCAGGAGCCGCUCCGUCUGUUUUUCACUCCCGGUCGCCGUCUUGGCUGCUGGUCCACAGAAAGGAACAAAAGUGAUGAGCAGAGAGUGGAAUAGUCUUUAAAAAAGCACCUUUGGGCGAGCGCUCAACUGUCAUGGAGAGCCAAAGCCCUCUGCACCUUCCUGAGCGCACUCACUGUGUCACUCCUGGCUGUGGUGUGGAUGUCGGUGUCGAAGUGGGGGGUGGGAACUGUAGAUGUAAUGUGAGUUUUUGCUUUAAAAAAAAAAAAUAUUGGUAAGUUCCUUAUUUUUGUUGUUUUUACCUUUUUGUACUAUUAUUCCCUUUUUUUAUUUUGUAUGUUUGUUUCUCUUCUCUCUGUAUGACAUUUGUUGUUUACUGUAAAGCGAUGGGGGUGCACCCUUCGACCUGCCUCCACUGGGUGGGAGUAGGAGAGAUUGGGGGGCGGUCCAGUUGGCUGAGGGUUACCUGUAGAGGGUGAAGGCUGGUGCUGAUUCAAACAGGGUUCCUACACAGACCUGGAGAGGAAUCAGGAAAAAACACCAAGGAAGGUGCGACAACCCAGCAAGCAUCUGAUGCUCCAUUUGUUCAGAGUCAACCCAAAACUUUCAGUAGAACUGGAAACCCAACUUUCAGAAGUUCUCCUCAAAAUGUCACAUUAUUUUCAUCUCAAAUCAAUGAAGUGAGCUUUGAUGUCUUUCCAACUCCAAUUUCUGUCAAAGCGCUCAUGGUGUUUGAUGGGAAAAUGCUCUGAUUUCUGAAAUUUUUGAAUUCAGUCAAAAUGUGAAAGGAAAAAUCCUCCCUGAGCAACAUUAACUAAGCAGCACAGGUGUUGAAAUCACGUUUACGCCUGCCAUAUUAUCACCUGAAAGUGUUGAGAAAGCACAUCUGGUGGCACAUCCAACUGAGAAACAUUGUCUUAUUUGAACUCCUGCACCUAAACGCUGAUGGGAAUGUGGCCAAAUUGAGACAAAUAAAAAGUCUUAAUGUUCGAUAGCAGUUUAGGAAGCAGAAGGUGGAUUUUUCCUGUGUAGAGACCCUGCUGAACACCUGGAGGAAUGUCAGCAUUUGUGUUACUCUGUAUUAAAACUGGCUAAACUUGAGAACAGAGGAGAGCGGGAAGGGGACGGAAGAUUCUUAAACCAAGAUCAUGAUCCUAAGGGGAAGCCUCACGGUUUAUCUCCACCUCUCCAUCCCUCCCUCUCUGCUCAGCCGCCUUCCUCCACCUCUUCCUCCACCUCUUCCUCCACCUCUUCCUCCUCAUCGCGGCCUCUCCUGCCCUCUAACUCUCUUUUCCUGCUGUCUGCUGGUCUAUAGUCUUCUAUUCAGAAACAUUUACUCUGCUCUUUCCCAAAUCCCCACACACCAGAGACAACACACACACUCUCACACACACACACACACAUC